UGAGGAAUAUUGGUCAAUGGACGAGAGUCUGAACCAGCCAAGUAGCGUGCAGGAUGACGGCCCUAUGGGUUGUAAACUGCUUUUGUUUGGGAAUAAUCGACAUUACGUGUAAUGUUUUGCAUGUACCAUUCGAAUAAGGACCGGCUAAUUCCGUGCCAGCAGCCGCGGUAAUACGGAAGGUCCAGGCGUUAUCCGGAUUUAUAGGGUUUAAAGGGAGUGUAGGCGGUUGGUUAAGCGUGUUGUGAAAUGUAGAUGCUCAACAUCUGACUUGCAGCGCGAACUGGCUGACUUGAGUACACACAACGUAGGCGGAAUUCAUGGUGUAGCGGUGAAAUGCUUAGAUAUCAUGAAGAACUCCGAUUGCGAAGGCAGCUUACGGGAGUGUUACUGACGCUUAAGCUCGAAGGUGCGGGUAUCGAACAGG
rnacentral:rRNA from 1 species